rnacentral:rRNA from 1 species
CUCCUUUAGAGUUUUGGACCUGGCUCAGAUUGAACGCUGGCGGCAGGCCUAACACAUGCAAGUCGAGCGGAAACGAGUUAUCUGAACCUUCGGGGAACGAUAACGGCGUCGAGCGGCGGACGGGUGAGUAAUGCCUAGGAAAUUGCCUUGAUGUGGGGGAUAACCAUUGGAAACGAUGGCUAAUACCGCAUAAUGCCUACGGGCCAAAGAGGGGGACCUUCGGGCCUCUCGCGUCAAGAUAUGCCUAGGUGGGAUUAGCUAGUUGGUGAGGUAAUGGCUCACCAAGGCGACGAUCCCUAGCUGGUCUGAGAGGAUGAUCAGCCACACUGGAACUGAGACACGGUCCAGACUCCUACGGGAGGCAGCAGUGGGGAAUAUUGCACAAUGGGCGCAAGCCUGAUGCAGCCAUGCCGCGUGUAUGAAGAAGGCCUUCGGGUUGUAAAGUACUUUCAGCAGUGAGGAAGGGGGUGUCGUUAAUAGCGGCAUCUCUGACUA